rnacentral:rRNA from 1 species
UACGUAGGGUGCGAGCGUUGUCCGGAAUUAUUGGGCGUAAAGGGCUCGUAGGCGGCCAACUAAGUCAUACGUGAAAAUCCCUCAGCUUAACUGGGGAACUGCGUGUGAUACUGGAUGGCUUGGAUUUGGGAGAGGGAUGCGGAAUUCCAGGUGUAGCGGUGAAAUGCGUAGAUAUCUGGAGGAACACCGGUGGCGAAGGCGGCAUCCUGGACCAAUAUUGACGCUGAGGAGCGAAAGCUAGGGGAGCAAACGGG